rnacentral:rRNA from 1 species
CUGGUUGAUCCUGCCAGAGGCCAUUGCUAUCAGGGUUUGACUAAGCCAUGCGAGUCGAGAGGUGUAAGACCUCGGCAUACUGCUCAGUAACACGUGGUUAACCUGCCCUAAGGUGGAGAAUACUCCCGGGAAACUGGGGCUAAUGCUCCAUAGUGGAUAUGUCCUGGAAUGGUAUAUCCUCGAAAGAUCCGUCGCCUUAGGAUGGGACUGCGUCCGAUUAGGUCGUUGGCGGGGUAACGGCCCACCAAGCCAUUGAUCGGUACGGGUUGUGGGAGCAAGAUCCCGGAGAUGGAUUCUGAGACAUGAAUCCAGGCCCUACGGGGCGCAGCAGGCGCGCAAACUUUACAAUGCGAGCAAUCGUGAUAAGGAAACCCUGAGUGCCUGUCGAUGCAGGCUGUUCAUAUAUCUAAAUCAUAUGUGAAGAAAGGGCAGGGCAAGACCGGUGCCAGCCGCCGCGGUAAUACCGGCUGCUCGAGUGAUGGCCACUAUUACUGGGUUUAAAGCGUCCGUAGCUUGACUGUUAGGUCUCUUGGGAAAUCUUCACGCUCAACGUGAAGGCGUCUAAGAGAUACCGGCAGUCUUGGAACUGGGAGAGGUAAACCGUACUUCGGGGGUAGGAGUGAAAUCUUGUAAUCCUCGAGGGACGACCUAUGGCGAAGGCAGUUUACCAGAACAGCUUCGACAGUGAGGGACGAAAGCUGGGGGAGCAAACGGGAUUAGAUACCCCGGUAGUCCCAGCCGUAAACAAUGUGCGUUAGGUGUGUCGGUAACCACGUGUUACUGAUGCGCCGAAGAGAAAUCGUGAAACGCACCACCUGGGAAGUACGGUCGCAAGGCUGAAACUUAAAGGAAUUGGCGGGGGAGCACCACAACGGGUGGAGCUUGCGGUUUAAUUGGAUUCAACGCCGGG